GUCCCAGUAGCUCAACGGUAGAGUGGUGGCGUUUUUCUCCUUUCUUCGCCCGACCGAGCGGGUUCGACUCCCGUCUGGGGCC
rnacentral:tRNA from 1 species